rnacentral:rRNA from 1 species
CAAGGAAUCUUCCGCAAUGGGCGAAAGCCUGACGGAGCAACGCCGCGUGUGGGAUGACGCCUUUCGGGGUGUAAACCACUUUUCUCAGGGAAGAAGCACUGACGGUACCUGAGGAAGAAGGACCGGCUAACUACGUGCCAGCAGCCGCGGUAAUACGUAGGGUCCGAGCGUUGUCCGGAGUUACUGGGCGUAAAGCGCGCGCAGGCGGCGGUGUAAGCAUGGCGUGAAAGCCCCAGGCUCAACCUGGGAGGGUCGUCGUGGACUGCACCGCUUGAGGGCGGUAGGGGCUGGUGGAAUGCCUGGUGUAGUGGUGAAAUGCGUAGAGAUCAGGCGGAACACCCGUGGCGAAGGCGGCCAGCUGGGCCGUCCCUGACGCUGAGGCGCGAAGGCGUGGGGAGCGAACGGGAUUAGAUACCCGCGUAGUCC